rnacentral:rRNA from 1 species
CCUACGGGAGGCAGCAGUGAGGAAUAUUGGUCAAUGGACGCAAGUCUGAACCAGCCAUGCCGCGUGCAGGAAGACGGCUCUAUGAGUUGUAAACUGCUUUUGUACGAGGGUAAACGCAGAUACGCGUAUCUGUCUGAAUGUAUCUUACGAAUAAGGAUCGGCUAACUCCGUGCCAGCAGCCGCGGUAAUACGGAGGAUUCAAGCGUUAUCCGGAUUUAUUGGGUUUAACGGGUGCGUAGGCGGUCGGAUAAGUCAGAGGUGAAAUCCCGAGGCUCAACUUCGGAAUUGCCUCUGAUACUGUUAGGCUAGAGAGUAGUUGCGGUAGGCGGAAUGUAUGGCGUAGCGGUGAAAUGCUUAGAGAUCAUACAGAACACCGAUUGCGAAGGCAGCUUACCAAGCUACGUCUGACGUUGAGGCACGAAAGCGUGGGGAGCAAACAGGAUUAGAUACCCCAGUAGUC